UGAGGAAUAUUGGUCAAUGGGCGAGAGCCUGAACCAGCCAAGUCGCGUGAAGGAAGAAGGUUCUAUGGAUUGUAAACUUCUUUUGUAAGGGAAUAAAAAGAGUUACGUGUAACUUAUUGUAUGUACUUUACGAAUAAGGAUCGGCUAACUCCGUGCCAGCAGCCGCGGUAAUACGGAGGAUCCAAGCGUUAUCCGGAUUUAUUGGGUUUAAAGGGUGCGUAGGCGGGCCCUUAAGUCAGUGGUGAAAGUUUGCAGCUUAACUGUAAAAUUGCCAUUGAAACUGAGGGUCUUGAGUGUAAAUAAGGUAGGCGGAAUGUGUUGUGUAGCGGUGAAAUGCUUAGAUAUAACACAGAACACCAAUUGCGAAGGCAGCUUACUGGGAUACAACUGACGCUGAGGC
rnacentral:rRNA from 1 species